UUUUAUGAUUGAUAAAUUAAUUUACUAAAUUUAAUGCUCCAUUAGUGGUUCUCGACUUUAUACCAACUUUUUCUUCUGUGCCGGUGAUAUAAUGUGAUAUCCUUACUGGGUUAGUGUAGUUCAUCCUUUAUUUAACCAUUUCAUAUCAAGAUGACUAGGUUUCAGAGCCCGAUUCGUAAGAAGAUUGCGAGUAAAUGUUAGAUAUUUUCUAUUUUCCAUUUGUUUCCUUAUUUCUCGUGUUUCUUUCAAAGAAUUAU
rnacentral:lncRNA from 1 species